GAUGAACGCUAGCUACAGGCUUAACACAUGCAAGUCGAGGGACCGGCGCACGGUUGAGUAACACGUAUCCAACCUGCCCUUUACUCGGGGAUAGCCUUUCGAAAGAAAUGUUAAUACCCGAUAUCAAGGAUGGGGAUGCGUUCCCUUAGGUUGUUGGUGAGGUAACGGCCCACCAAGCCUUCGAUGGAUAGGGGUUCUGAGAGGAAGGCCCCCCACAUUGGAACGUAGACACGUUCCAAACUCCUACGGGAGGCAGCAGUGAGGAAGAUUGGUCAAUGGGCGUUAGCCUGAACCAGCCAAGUAGCGUGAAGGAUGAAUGCUUAUGGGUCGUAAACUUCUUUUAUAGAAGAAUAUGUAUUAUAUGAAUAAGGAUCGGCUAACUCCGUGCCAGCAGCCGCGGUAAUUC
rnacentral:rRNA from 1 species